rnacentral:rRNA from 1 species
UACGUAGGGGGCAAGCGUUGUCCGGAAUUAUUGGGCGUAAAGAGCGUGUAGGCGGUCCGGUAAGUCGGCUGUGAAAGUCCAGGGCUCAACCCUGGGAUGCCGGUCGAUACUGCCGGACUAGAGUUCGGAAGAGGCGAGUGGAAUUCCCGGUGUAGCGGUGAAAUGCGCAGAUAUCGGGAGGAACACCUAUGGCGAAGGCAGCUCGCUGGGACGUUACUGACGCUCAUGCACGAAAGCGUGGGGAGCAAACAGG